rnacentral:rRNA from 1 species
CUAUGGAGAGUUUGAUCCUGGCUCAGAGUGAACGCUGGCGGCGUGCCUAAUACAUGCAAGUCGAACGAUGAAGCUUUUAGCUUGCUAGAAGUGGAUUAGUGGCGCACGG